GCUGGGUGUGGUGGCUCAUGCCUGUAAUCCCAGUGGUUUGGAAAGCUGAGGCAGGAGGAUGGCAAUUUUAAGCCAGCCUCACUCAGCAAUUUUGUAAGGCCCUAAAGCAACUUAGUGAGACCCUGUCUCUA
rnacentral:sRNA from 1 species